rnacentral:rRNA from 1 species
UGUCGUCAGCUCGUGUCGUGAGAUGUUGGGUUAAGUCCCGCAACGAGCGCAACCCUUGUCGCUAAUUGCCAUCAUUUAGUUGGGCACUUUAGCGAGACUGCCGGUGACAAACCGGAGGAAGGUGGGGAUGACGUCAAGUCCUCAUGGCCCUUAUGGGUAGGGCUUCACACGUCAUACAAUGGUCGGUUCAGAGGGUUGCCAACCCGCGAGGGGGAGCUAAUCUCAGAAAGCCGAUAGUAGUCCGGAUUGCAGUCUGCAACUCGACUGCAUGAAGUCGGAAUCGCUAGUAAUCGCGGAUCAGCAUGCCGCGGUGAAUACGUUCCCGGGUCUUGUACACACCGCCCGUCACACCAUGGGAGCGGGUUCUGCCAGAAGUAGUUAGCCUAACCGCAAGGAGGGCGAUUACCACGGCAGGGUUCGUGACUGGGGUGAAGUCGUAACAAGGUAGCCGUAGGGGAACCUGCGGCUGGAUCACCUCCUUUCU